CAAGGCAUGAUUUGAGGUUUAUAUAUCUUAAUUUGAAAGGAGGAACCCAAUUCGAAGUCACAUUGAACAUCAAGGUGAUGUUCCUAGAGUUUUGAACAAUUGAUAACUCCUUUAAGCUUGUGAGAUUGGAAAAGUGAGCUUCUGUUAAAACGCCCUCCCAUUGAUUACCUUUGAUUUCUAAUGAGACUAAUGAUGAGAGUUGUCCUAUGGUUGUUGGGAUUGUUCCUUUCAUUCCAUUGUCGGAGAGAUCGAAAAACUCUAGUGAAGACAAAUUCCCUAUGGAUUCUGGAAUGGAACCGACAAAGUAGUUGUGCACGAGAAGAAGAUUUUUUAAAUUCCACAAGUGUCCCAAAGAAUCAGGAAGAAAGCCACCCAAUUCAUUGUAACCCAACUGCAAUGACUCUAAGCUACGAUUGUUGCAUUGAGACAAGCCACUGGUAAAUUCUCCAAUAUCACCGCUAAUCAUAUUGUAAGAGAGAUCAAGCACACGCAAAUUGCAAAGGUUUCCCAAAUUUCUUCUUGACAACUUGCCUUCAAUGAAUGAAUUUUCAGACAGGUCAAGGUUUUGAAGAAAGUUCAUGUCUGCAAAUCCAUCUGGAAUUUCGCCUAUAAGACUGUUAGAGCCGAGAUCAAGAUACUGAAGACCACUGAUGUUAAAAAGCCAAGUAGGUAUUGAGGAGUUGAAACCAUUGUUUGAGAGAUCAAGGACGGCAAGGGAUGAAAGGUUAACGAGGGGAAGUGAGAGAGGAAGAAUGGAAAGUCCACAAGCUGGUAAGUGCAGCUCCUCUAAUGAAGGAAACAUGUUGACAGCUUCAAGCCAGUAUGUGCUGGUCAUACUAAGAUCAACACUUCCCAAAUUUAGGUGUUUCAAAUUAGAAAGGGUUGAUAACCAAUGUAAGUCAUUCUUGUUUGAGUCAGUAAAACAAGAAUUGAGAUCAAGAUAGCGCAAGCUUGUAAGGUUUCCCAAAAAUGAAGGAAGAGAUCCACCAAAGGAUGCACCCGAGAGAUUGAGGUAUCUCAAAGUCUUGAGUGAUCCAAAAAAGUUUGGAAUUGAGACUCCUCCAAAGUAGUUCAUACUAAGGUCUAAGUACUUCAAGUAUUUCAAAUCAAUCAAAGAAGGAUGUAUCUCACCGCCUAACGCAUAAGCUGUUGCAUCUGAUACAUCAGGAUUACUGGAAUACAGGUUGGGAAGUUUGAGCUUGGUGACAUGUCCAAGCUUGUCACUGCACCGUACACCAGCCCAGCUACAGCAAUCUUCACCUUUCCAAGAAGAGAGCCGCCCUGAGGGAUCGGUGAGACCUUCUUUGAAGUUGAGAAGAGCUUUUCUUUCCAUUGGAAUGCAGCUAACAUUUUGACUCACACAUGAACCAAUUUAACAGUUUCGAGGUAAAGGAACUCAGAAGAGAGGAUCAAAAUAAGAGAAAAACACCAGAUAGAAGAUCUGGUAUUCGCCAUGUCUUUUGCAGGUAAAGAAAAUGAAUAGAUGCGCUGUUGAGCUCAUGCUGUUUAUAUAGGGGAAAAAAUAAACGAAUAUUUGAGUUGGCUCAAGUCAAUGUCUUUGUGCUGAACCAUUUGAGAAGCCCAUAGCUUUCUCAGUCCAGCUGUCUCAUACAAGUAGGUAAGAUUUGUUCUGUCCAAUCAUUCUUAACGUAACAGGAACUUCCAUUUAUUCUCUUUCCUUUUUAGGGCAAAUAACCAUAUAAAAUAUUGUCAAACUUUCCAUCCCACUUGUUCUUUUCUUUUUUGCUUUUUGGGUGUUUUGCCUUCUAAGUCUGGAAAGAAAUCCAACUUGUUUUCAAACCAGAGAAAAUGAAUAUUGCAGUCCAGUCAAAUUUGACGGCAGUGGGUUCAAUGCUGAAGUCGCCAUUACUGAAGCCGAAUGAAGGCUUCCUUUAAUUUUAUAUUACAUGCGUAUCUCAACCAAAGAUUUAAAUAGAGGUUGAAUAGUGGUAUAACGGUCAUUAUUUCACAAUUAUGUUAUUAUUUAUCACUGUUAUUAAAAGAAAAAGAAAAAAAUUUAAAUAUCAUUUAUAGCAAGCAAAUCACGAUUGCAAAUUGUGGCAUACCGUUUAAUAGCGAUAAUAGCUGCUAUUAUUUGCUACUUAUUUUUCAUUCAAAAAUUUAAAAAAUAUAUUUUAUUUGACUCUAAUUAAAAAUUUAAAAUAAAAAAGCAAGAAAAAUGAUAAACAUCAAUUUACAAAUUCAAGAAAAAUUUUUUUUAUAAAACUUAGACUUUCAAAAAUAUCAAUUCUCUCAAAUUCAACUUCAAUUAAGAUUAAGCAUAUACAAUUUAAGGUAAGCAAUUAAUUCGACACUCAAAUUAUUUUUUUUUUAAUUUUAAAAUUUAUCGUAAUUUUAUGUGUUUGGGAUUGGAUUGAGAGCAAGAGUUGUUGAAACUUAAAAUAAAAAACAAGAGAUGAGAGCAAGAUUUGAGGUUAAAGAAGACAAGCAGAUAGCAUACACCAAAAAAAAAAAAAAGAGCUGAGAGAUAGGGAUGAGGAUAAAGGUUUAGAGAAAAAUUUAUUGAAUGUAAGAUGAGGGGAUGAGAAGUUAUGGGAUCUGUAUAAUUUAGUCAAGAGAUAAAGGAAAUAGACUUUAGGCUAUUGUUGUUGAGGAUUAACCUCAACAUGAAGGCUAACAAGUUUGAUUACUGUAGACCCAUAAAAAGCAAUUCUUUUUUUUCAUAAAUAGCAAUGUUCUUGUUUAAUUUAUGGAUAUUUAAUCACUUAUUAGUUAAUUUAUGUAUAAUAUAAUUCAGUAAUAAUUUGAUGAGUACGAUAAUUAAAUAAUUAAAUAUAUUAUUCGUUAUGAUUAUUUAUUUUUCACAUAUUUAUUUAUCUUUUGUUAUUUACUAAUUAUCGUAUGAGUAAUAUUUUAAACAUGAAUAUUUUAUUAUAAAUAAUUUUUUAAAAUAAAUAAAACAUAUGAUAUGAUAUAAAUUAUUUUAAAAAUCAUAAAUUAAGAGUUUUUAUGAUUAAUAAUUAAAAUUAUUAAUAAUUUAAAAAAAUUUACAAUCGUAAUCGCUGUAAUGAUCAUGAAAACUUUUAUUAUAUUCGUAACUAUGAUAAAUAUGAUGCAAUAAAAAAUAUGACUGCUAUCGCAAUUUAAAUAUAUGAUCUCAUCUUGUUCAUCGUCCUUCCACAGGAAACAGAACCUGUGGACCUGUGGUUUCCAAAAUUUCCUAUGGAAAAGUUUCCAACUUCCAUCUUCCAAGUAAGGAAAGUGUGAAUUCUUGGCAUUUAGGGUGGGGGGAACAGGGUUGUACCCUUCAGUAUUUAAUUUCUUGCAAAUCCAACAAAGGCAGCUGAUUGAAAGGCUGAAAUCGACACUCACCCCAACACCAGUUGUUCCAAUAAGAUUGAUCGUCUUUCUUAAACUUUCUUAAAUACUACAUUACUAGAAAUACAAAGAUGAUCAAACAAAUUCAUUUCUGUAAGAAAUUUGUAGACUAUUAAUACAAAGUUAAUACCCCAAAAUAGUAAUAUUUAACCUGUUCCUGUUUUUGGAAAUUAAUUAACCCAUUUAUAAUUUUUUUAUUUUUUUAUUACAACUAGAUUCAACUUGAAACUUUCAAUUUUGAAACUAAUUUUAUUAUUAUUGCACUAACUGUUCAUUGAUAAUUCAUUUGUAAAUUUAAUAAAAGGUAAUUUAAUUAUUAAUUUAAAGAUAUAAUUAAUAGACAAUGCCUUUUUUAAUUUUAAUUACUAGAAAAUAAAUAAAGCAUAUAAACUAUACAAAGCUUCCCUUGAAAAAAAUUAUUAAAAAAUAAUUAAAAAUAUCUUAAGUGUUACACAUUUCUAAGCAGGGAUGGAUCUAGGAUUUCUAAUAAGUGGGGGCAACUAUUUUAACUUAAUUUUUUAAAAUUUUUAUUGAAAAACAUAUUAAUAUGAAGAAUUCCUAACAAAUUAACAUGUAUAACAAUUUUUUCUAUAAAACACAAUUUUGUAUGUCAUAAAUAUAAUAUUUGCAUAACUAAGAUUAACUGUUAUUGACGAAUAUAGCUUAAACAUUAUAAUAUUAUAAUAAAUCAUUUUUUGACGUAUGCAUGUGUAGACACAUACAUAUAUAAAUAUGUAUAUAUAUUUUAUUAAUACAAUUUUACUUAAACAAUUUUUAAAUAUAAAUAUAAUAUGUGAAAAAAAUAAAUAUCAAUAUUUUCAAUUUUAUCAUCUAUUUUCAUUUCUUACACAUUAUAAUUUGAAGAAUAACAAAUGUUUAUUUUCUUAUAUACAAUGAAAACAAUAUUUUUUUACGUUCAAUGGAAAACAAAAAUGAAGAUAUAAAUCCAUGUUAGUUAAAAAUUAUUUUUUAAUUUUUAUUCUUAUUAAUUCACUCUGAAUGAAUUUUAAAAGUUAUUUAUUUAUUCUUCUUCAAAAUUAAUGUACAUAUAUGUUAUAAUGAAAUUGUUUAUCACUCAAAAUAUAAAUAUUCAAUUACUAGAUAAACAAUAAAAAAAUUUUUACUUGAUCCUCAAUUUAAUGAGGGUAAAUAUGAUAAAAAAAAUUUUGAUAGGGCAAAACUUAAAAUUUCUAAACUUUAUGAGACUUUUCUAUGACAAAUUCAAAGAACUUUAGUGUGUCAGUGGGGCGGCUGCCCCGACAACCCCAUGUGUAAUCCGGUCCUUUUGCUAAGUCAAGUCUAGGUUUUGUUUCAAAAAGUCAAAAACAUUUUAAAAAAAUUAUAAAACUAUUUCUAAAAUUAUUUCAAUCAUUCAAACAAGAAAUGCUGUCUGCCAAAAACAAAAAAACAAAACCUUGGGCUCAUAGGGGGGUUUGAGCUUCAUAUUCUAAGGCUUGAUUGGGCCCAAGAGAAAAAGGACAGUUGGGCUAUGAACCCGGUUCUAGGAUGGAUAGCCCGACCCGGUGAAACCAUUGAGAUAUUUGUCGGUGCAGGGUAAAUGACGUGGUGUUCUCCAUUCUUGCCAAGGACCACCGGAAAAGAUCUCAACACCGGCCACGGCGGACAGCACAGAUGUCACCGUACACCCUCCCAAAUCCCCACCUUAUCCAAUCAUCACCUGCCGCGUGUCCCCCGCACAGUUCCUACCGCCCCUUCUCCUUCUCACUCCAUCCUCCCUCCAACAACGACCGCUGCCGCCCUCCAUGUGCUAACUUGCGCCUUACAGUGCCCUCACUUCCUAUCAUACGCAUCCUUGUGACACCCCCAAUCUAUUAUGAUAUAUAAAAGUUCUCACUUCCUAAAAAUCUACUAUGAUAUUUAUUCAUAUUUAUUCAUUAUAUUUAUUUUUAUUCAUAUUUAUUUUCUAUAUUAAUUAUAUUUAUUUUAUCUUUAAAUUGAUAUAAAUUGAUUUGCUUUUAUAAAAAUUUUAAAAUAUUUCAAUGCAUUAAUUAUAUUUAUUUUCUUUUUAAUUUUCAAUAAACCCACUUUUUAUUUCCAAAUAAAAUAUCUUAAAUUAUAAAUUAAAACUAAAUCAAUAAUACAUUAUAAUUAAAGAAUUUAUUAAUGAUUCAAAAAAUAAUAAAUAUUAUAAUUAUGGUUAUUAAAUUUUUUUAAUGAUUCAAAAAAUUUUUAUUGAAAUUUAAUCAAAAUUAUAAAAAAUUUAAUAAUCACUAUAAUAAUGGUUAAUAGUUGAUUUCUUAAUAAAUUAUUUAAUAUAUUCAUAUUUGAUUAAAUAUGAUAUCCAACUAAAUAAUGUAUGUUAUUCAUAUAUAAAUAUAUAUAAAUUAUAUAAUAAUUUUAUAUAUUUAUAUAAGAUUAAUGAUUCAUUAUAAUGUUGGAUUUUAUGCAUACGGGUUGUAAUCAAUAAGCAAUGCAUCCCAUUUCAUACAAAUAUAUAAAAAUAAAAAAAUUUUGUAAAAAAAAUAAAAAAUUCAAUGUGGAUAAUCUAUUUUUUUUUUACAUAUAAAUUGUUUUGAACAAUUUUUACAUAUUCUGCAUUUAAUUAUUUUGAUUUGACUUCAUAUAUAUAUUUUAUUAAUUUAAAAGAUAUUUAUUUGGCUAAAUUAGGUUAUUUAUUUUCUCAUAAAUAUCCAAUGUUUUUGCCUUUUAUAAAUGUAUUAUAAUUAAAUUAUUUUAUAUUAUUUUCAACCAAAUUCAAUUCUUAAUUUUAAAUAUCAAACGUGUAUACUAUCAAUAAGAAAUAUGUUUUGAAAGCAUUUACUUUUUAAUAACCAUGAUUUUAAUAUUUAAUUAAAAAUAAUUUAUAUAUUUAUUAACCUAAAUUAAUAUAUAAGCCAUAUAAUGCUAAAAAUUCAAACCUAAAAUAAAAUCAAAUUAGUUUGAAACAUAUUUUCAUAUUUCUUUCUAUAUAAGUAUUAAUUACAAUUGAUAUAAUUUAUUAUUUUACAAAAAUUUUUCAAAAUAUUAAGUGCAGACUUUUCAAAGUAAAAAGAUAUAUUACAUAAAUAAUUAAUAUUCUAUUAUAAUUUUUUUUUCAUAAAUUACUCUUAAUUUAUAAAAAUCUCUCAAAUUCUUAUUAUAAAUAGAGAAGCCUAUAUCUAAGAGUAUUAGGAGGUUACUCAAUUUAUUAAUUUUUAGUAAAUAACAUAUGGUUUCAAUCCCACAAAAAAACGCAAAUUCAAUUUAAAUUACUUUGAACUUUCGAGAAUACAAUGUAAGAAUGGACACCACUUAACCAAAGGUUUGUUGUUGUUAUUAUGAGUAAGUGGUAUAAAAUUCAAAGAUUUGGAAUCAAUCAGUAUUUAAUUUUGUAUAAAUAUCACUAUUAGAUGAGAUAUAAUACAAAUAAUUUUUUUAUAUUACAUAGGGAUAUGUUGAUUUACAAUAAUUUUAUUUUUUAUUAUUUUACAUUGCAAAUUUUUAUUUUUAUAUAAAAUUUAUUGAUUUAUUUUAUUUUGUAUAAAUAUCACUAUUAGAUGAGAUAUAAUAUAAAUAAUUUUUUCAUAUUACAUAGGUAGAUAUUGAUUUACAAUAUUUUUAUUUUUUAUUAUUUUACAUUGAAAUUUUUUAUUUUUUUAUAAUAUAUAUAUGUAUGUAUGUAUGUAUGUAUGUAUGUAUGUAUGUAUGAAUAUAUCGCACGGAUUUCGUUUACAUUAAAGUAUCUUGCAACUUAGCCUGACUGCCUGUGUUUCCCUCUACUUCAUUGGUCUUCUUAGGCGAGCUAAGUUUAACAAGACAAACACCAUUAGCCUUUCUUUCAUAUCAUCAAGGAACUCGAAGUAGACACGCCUCCAAGAUUUCUUCACCAUUAAAGGGAAGCACACUCCCCAAAAUCCCACAACAAAUCCUGGUCCCAUGCUGAUAUAGAACCACAUCAUUUCGUGGUCAUCUCCGUUUUCAUUGUCCUUGUUCCUAACAUCAGGAGAAGUUGAUGAUUCAUCGUCACCAUCGCACCUGGUUGGUAGUGGUGGCCCACAAAGUCCACUGUUACCUUCAUAAAUGGAUGGAUCGUUGAGGGUUUGGAACUGGUUGGCUGACGGAAUUUUACUAGACAGGUUGUUGUACGAAAGGUUCAAGUGAUUUAAGGA
rnacentral:lncRNA from 1 species